CUUCAUAGUGUCAUUUGGAAGUUUUUCAUUUGGAGUUAGAGAGAGAAAGAGGUUCAAAGAGAGAGAGAACUCCAUUUUCACCAGCUUUGAUCCUAGAAUCACGGUUUUCACGCAAGAGGAGACUCGUAGUUGUGAUUCUAACAUCCACAAGUAUAAUAGAAACGAAUUACAAGAAAAAAGAGGGAAGUUUAAGCUGACUUGAGCUCGGUUCGUGUGACUUGGUUUCAAAGGUAAAGUUUUACAUGAAAGACUAAGUUUACGUGAACCUUUAUGCAUUAGAAAUUGAGAGACAACUAUUUCGAUUCACUUGGAUGCAUAAAGUUGGCAUCUUCAUGUAUUUUCAUAUAAUAACCUUUAUAGCUGCCAACUCAUGUCGGAUUAGGGUUUCUCUGAAGGAACAUGUACAUCUUGCUUGAUGCUUAUUGUGUGGUUUUUCACGCGAAAUUACACAUUUCGUCUGUUAACUUUCCAAACGUAUAGUAUAGCAUUUUGUUUAGCAGGGCUUUCCGCAUGAAUAUAAUUCACUUAGUUUAGUUAUCACUUGACCCCAAGUGAAACCCUACUUCUCGCGCCCCUUCACAUUUUGCUUGGAACACAGUUUUCGCAUAUAGGAUUUUCGCGUGAACACUUGAGCGAAUAACUUACUUUUCGCGUAUGCAACUUUGACAACAUUUGACUUAAUUUCCGAAUUUUACAAUCCUUUAGAAAUACAUUGAAGUAAAGCAUAGUAUCACAUGUGAGUAAUUAAUCUGACCGUUUUUAUACAAUUUUGAGGGUUGUGUAUACUUGGGAAAGUAAAGUUUCAAUAAUUUAUAUAUAUAUAUAUAUAUAUAUCUAUAUAUAAGCAUUUCCUAUGUCUACAAAUGUAAUUUACUAUCAUAUUUUUAAGAUGGCAUACCAAAAGCUAGAAUAAAUUCCUAUAUUUUUACACUUUUCUUCCUUUUCUACCCUCAUUUUACCACAAAUACAAGUUUUGAAGCAUCAUUUACAAGACAGUAGAAGAAGCCAAUAUUUGGCUUUAUCGUUAUAGCCACCUCUUCACUUUCUUUCUUUAUGGCAAUAAGUGCGAUGGUGGCGGUUACAAUAGAGGGAUUCAAACCACGACCCGAAACGUCGGAUUCCAGGAUCAUUGUUCUUCAACCAUCACACACCAAUCUCCAUACCCCUGUAACAUGUUAUGAAUUCAGAAGAGAAACACCUUCAAUCCGUGAUGUUGUUCUGCGGGUAUUCUUGAACUGAGAAGGGAUUGUGGGUGCUCCGAUCUCAGGAAAUAGGGUAAGGAGCAGUGCAGGCGAAUUGGUGCUAAGACUUAGGAUCAUGAACGGGCUUAUUUUGAUUCACUUGAUUGGGCUCUAGGAAAGUAGCAAGGUGUAGACAAGCCCAGAGGACCUCUUGAGGCACUUCGACCUAAACUACAGCCAACUCAGCAGCAAACACGAUAUAGGAAUUCACUUUGCGCCCCAAAUGAUGGACAAGAUAUGCAGGCAGCAGAGCAAACCCAUGAAUGACCUCAUGAAGCUUGUUAAUCAUCUCCAUUUUUUGUUUCAUGAAACAAUCCCUACAUUACAAAUAUAUUAUGAUACAAGUAUGCAAUUUGCAUUCUUUUUUUUUUCUUUCAAGUGUUUUUUGUUUCUAUUACAAGCACUGAACCUUUUUUUUUAUUUUUUUUAAAAUUUUCUUUUAUUUUUAAUUUUUUUAACUGUUCAAAUCUUUUUGAAUUUUUUUAUUUUUUUGCUUUUUUUAAAUUUUUUGAUUUUUUUUUUAUUUUUUUAUUUUUUUUUUAUAAUUUUAGCCUAUCAUGCCCAAAUCUAUCUUGACAAAAACCUAUCUUGACCUAAACCCAUCCUAACCCAUUUCUUAAUAAACUCAUCCUAACCCAAACCCAUCCUAACCCAUACCCAUCCUAACUCAUUACCCAAACCUGCCCAACCCACCCAUUUUGCCACCCCUACCCUAGACCUGUUAAUAAUAAUGAUGGUGGGAGUAUUGAUGUUGAUGUGAUCAAGUCUGCGAUUCGGAACCCUUACUUUGAGGUAUGUUACUCGAAAACUAGGCUUAUUUGCCUCGAGAAUUCACAAUUCACAUGCUAAGUAUGAAUUUGGAUGAUUUCUUUUGUUAUUGUUAUCUAGGCGAUCAAUGAUUAAAUGCCUAACAGAGAUGAGUUAUUGAUGCAGCUCUGGUGGUAGAUGUCUUUAUGUAGAGUAUACAACCAUGUUGGGGAGCUUGCGAAAAAACAUUGUGUUUUGGACCUUUGGUUGAUUAUGGUUUUAUAAGUUCUGAAUUUCGAGUUUUAUUUAUGUAGGCAAGGAUUUUGAGGAAAACAUUAGGGGCGGUAUGAGACAGGUUGGCAUCUUAUGUGCUAAUGCACUUGUUGCUUUACAAGAAAAUGUCCAAAACCUUGUGACUGAUCACAAAAAUGCCAAGACUUUAGCUGGUAACAAAGCAUUUCUUUAUAAAAAUUGUUUAUCUAAUUAUCUCAUUCAGCAACACUUUAAGCUUUAGCUGGUAAUAAAGCAUUUCUUUUUAUGCUUUGAUUUAGUAUAUUUUGUAAAUAUUAACUUUUCUUUUGAGCUUGGGAUUGAUAUGAAACAAGGGUUAGUCUUAAUUUUAGGAAAAUAUGCUAUUGCUAAAACCUUUGGUGCCUGAUAAAGCAAUAGCUAGCUCUUGUUGUAUUUGACAUGCAGCUUAGUCUUAAUUUCUUCUUAUGAUAUCUGUCAGCAUUUAGAGGCCAUUGAACUUUGUUUGCCAGUUUAAAGCCAAGGCUCCUUACGGGGCCAUUCGAAUUCGGCAAAUAUACUGAAAACACCAGUCCUCGUUGUAUUCCUUAUCAUCUGUAUUUGCUGCUUAAGGAAGCAGUUGAUAUCAUGAAGCCUUCUGAGUUGCACAGCAACACCUAUAAUGUUACUAAAUUGAAAAGGGUUGAGAAAAAAAUUUGUUUUUCUUUUUUUUUUGCAACUACUUCCACUCGCAUCUGCCAGUUGGCUGGAAAUAGUAUGCCUUUUUCUUUUUUCUAAAUCGGCUAUCAUCGGAGAAUGGACCGGAGAUGGUGGCGAGCACAGGCUUUGCGCUAUCUUAUGAGGUUCCAAACAGAGCACACAUGUGGUUUACUAAAUGUAGCUCGACACCUGACAUUUGGAUGGGAAGCUGCCGAGUUAGUUCACUCAAUGCGUAUCUCAGAAUAUUUCGAGGAAAAAACGAUUCAUUCUAGAUCCGCGAUCGAAGAGUACGUGUGGUCAAAUCACGAGACAUGGACGCCAAGGCCGUUGCUAAGUGUGCACGUAAGGAUGGGAGACAAGGCAUGUGAAACGAAGGUGGUUCAGUUUGAAGAAUACACGCGUCUCGCCAACCGGAUUAGAAACCGUUUCCCUUAUCUGAAUGGAAUCUGGCUCUCAACCAAGAUACAAGAAGUUAUCGAUAAAACAAAGUUAUAUGCAAAUUGGAACUUUUACUACUCAAACGUGAGACGGCCUUUUGGUAAUUUUGAUAGGCUGUUAUUUGACACUCGAUCGUCAACAUGAGACGUGUCUAUAAGUAAAUGUUUGUCUCAACUUAACUAAAACCAUAUAUAGUUACCUAUCUUUAUUAUAAAUAGUCCUUUUGUAGUCAUUUGGUAAAAUAGUAAAUGAGGUAGGUAAAAAAGGUUUUCACGUAA